rnacentral:rRNA from 1 species
GGUUAAGCGACUAAGCGUACACGGUGGAUGCCCUGGCAGUCAGAGGCGAUGAAGGACGUCCUAAUCUGCGAUAAGCGUCGGUGAGGUGAUAUGAACCGUUAUAACCGGCGCUUUCCGAAUGGGGAAACCCAGUGUGUUUCGACACACUAUCAUUAACUGAAUCCAUAGGUUAAUGAGGCGAACCGGGGGAACUGACACAUCUAAGUCCCCCGAGGAAAAGACAUCAACCGAGAUUCCCC